UACGGAGGGGGCUAGCGUUAUUCGGAAUUAUUGGGCGUAAAGGGCGCGUAGGCGGCCUGCUAAGUCGAACGUGAAAUCCCCGAGCUCAACUCGGGAACUGCGUCCGAUACUGGCAGGCUUGAAUCCGGGAGAGGGAUGCGGAAUUCCAGGUGUAGCGGUGAAAUGCGUAGAUAUCUGGAGGAACACCGGUGGCGAAGGCGGCAUCCUGGACCGACACUGACACUGAGGAGCGAAAGCCAGGGGAGCAAACGGG
rnacentral:rRNA from 1 species